AAUCCUGAUUCUCGAUCACUGAGUCUCAAACAUGUAGAAUUCUACAUCACCCAUCAGAUCAGAUAGGAACCUCUAAUGUGUGUGACCCCACAGGUUCGAACCUAAGUCGGUAGCACAGGAACCAAUUCCUGUACUAAUCGAAGUGACCAUCUAGCAAUGGUACCCGACGUUCGGAUAGGUCGAAGAGUCACAAUCGCAACACUCAGAACCUACAUGAAUAUGGUUACU
rnacentral:lncRNA from 1 species